rnacentral:lncRNA from 1 species
CAAACAAAGAAGAAAUCGUGGCUGUUGCAGAAGCCAAAAUCCGCAGCCCGCCGAGCCCAAUGAAUGAAUUCAUCUCCCUGGUCUGCUGCUGGGAGAAGCAGCUCACUCAGUGUGAGAAUACCGGGCAGCGAAGUCUGACCCACCGACACUAGAACCCAGUUCUGCCAGGUUCCACCAAGGCAUUUGGGCUCGGAGCCUCAUUGUUCUCACCUGUGAAAUGGGUGGCAUUGUGCCCCAGCACACAGUGGGCGCUCAGUCAGCUGCCUUGGCUGCCUCCCCAGAUAGCGGUGGGUGUCCCUUAGAGGAUCGUGGCCCGUCAGGUCCACCCAUCCAGACCAGCUUCCAGGAGGCCACAGGCUCCAAAGUGAUUGUCGCUGUGGGAGACGGAAGCUCUACCCUGCGAGGUGAGUGCUCCCCAGCCCAGAGGGAAGUCAUCAAGACCUUGCACCCAGAGUCCCUUCUGAGCUGCCAGCUGCAGUUCCAGCAGGCCGUCUCCGAUUUCCCAGCACGUGAUGUUCUCACCGUGGAGCCAGGCUUCGAUGCUGCUCUGGAAUGGAGAGCAAGAAGACCCUGAGCUGCCCGGAUCUUGACAACAGGGAGUGGAGGUUGGCCAGGUGCGGCCGUGUUGCUUGCUCUCUGCGCUUCACCAUUGGCCGCCACCACCACCUUGUUUGCCUGUUCGCGGCGGAUCCUUUGGGCUGGCAGGAAGGGGUGAAGUUGCGACGUCUCUUGCACGACACUCUCGUGCCCAUGUCGGCCUCCAUAGAGCUCAUCCUGGUGGAGGACGUGAGGCUGAGUCCAGAAGAGGUGACCACCUACAACCACCCUGGCAUCCAGGCGGAGCUGCCCAUCAGAGAAGGCACGAGACACUUCCUCAACACAGCACUGCAGACGUCGUCACGGUGGCCUCCCUGGAGGCCAGGGGAGUCGCCCUGGUGGGUUGGCUUUAGUUUCUCACCCAGGCCACUGUGUGGUGAGUGGAUUGACUAUUGGAAAAGCUGGCACUUAGUCACACCAGCUAUAACCAGCAGGGUCUUCAGAAUCUCCGCUUCAUUCAGCAACUUUGGUCAUCGCCGUGCCGCCUCUGUGAGUUUCAUUCCACAUCCACACACUACUCCCACUAUUAGUUACCUAAUGGUUUCCUUUCGAUCCAUCUUUUAA